CUGUCCUUCAAUUAAAAUCAACGGAAGCUGCCCGAUAAAAAAAAUGUACAUCUACACAGUAACAGCGAUAAAAUGCGUCAAAAUUUAUUAAAUAACGACUUGUUAUUCUCCUGAUGAUACUUACGAAAAAAUUUAUCAAGUCAUUCAAGUGUAUGUUUGUGUAAACUUUCGUUACAAAAUGCUGGAAUAAGUGGUUCGUUGGCGCGCGUUCGAGUAUAAAAGAACAGCGUGUCGUGGUUGUCGAAGUUUUGAUUCAACAGCAAUCGUAGCGUUCAUUUCAGAAUAAAUAAACUUUGUGUUAACAUGAAAUUCACACUUCUCUUCGCAAUCGUGAUUUUGAGCUUCUGCUCAAUGGCCAGUGCCGCCAGCAAAGAAGAACCGAAGACUCGCGUUGAACGGGGUAUAUUGGACUCGGUCAUUCCUGAAUGCAGCAUAUUCGAUUGGUGCUAUGGCAAAUGCAGUUGGUUCGGAUUGUGUGACGGCGAUUGCAAAUCUAAGUGCGCUAUAAAAUGUACGUGCCUUCCAUAACGGCCACAAUCAGCUUUCAACGCAUUAAAUUUAUUUUAUUUUAUAAUUAUCCAAAUCUGAAUGCCUUUCGCGCAUAUUUUUGAUUCAAUAAACAUGUAAUGUACAAAUCUG